GCUUAACGCGAAGAACCUUACCUAGGCUUGAACUCCUACGAACCUCUUGUAAUGGAGAGGGUGUCCGCAAGGAAAUGUAAUGAGAGGUGCUGCAUGGCUGUCGUCAGCUCGUGUUGUGAAAUGUUGGGUUAAGUCUCGCAACGAGCGCAACCCCUAUCGUCUGUUGCCAGCAUUAAGUUGGGCACUCUGACGAGACUGCCUGGGUUAACCAGGAGGAAGGUGGGGAUGACGUCAAGUCCUCAUGGCCCUUAUGUCUAGGGCUACACACGUAAUACAAUGGCGCGUACAAAGGGAAGCGAACUCGCAAGGGGGAGCAAAUCUCAAAAAGCGCGCCUCAGUUCGGAUUGGAGUCUGCAACUCGACUCCAUGAAGUUGGAAUCGCUAGUAAUCGGAGAUCAGCACGCUCCGGUGAAUACGUUCCCGGGUCUUGUACACACCG
rnacentral:rRNA from 1 species